rnacentral:lncRNA from 1 species
AAGAUUUGAAUAGAAACAGUUUGAUUUUAGGGAAUGUAUUCGUUGAAUAUAAUGGAAUGAUAUGUUGGUUAGGUUUCUUUUUCUCUUUCUACCACGUGAGUAAGGAGAGGAUUUUGAUAUAUUUCUUUAAGCGCAUGUAUUCAUUGUAGCUUCAAAUAUAGUUUUUUACGCGCAUGUACAUGCCAUUGUAUAUUUGAAGUGGAAGAACAUGUUGGAAGCAAAAGGGACAUUGGUGGUUUCCAACAUGAAAAUAAUGAGGACAUGUGGACUUUGAUUUAAGUUGAAACACCUGGAAGAAACUAUUCAUUGAUGGAUAUUUUGAAGGGAAUGGGUUUGCUUAGAAGGUGAUAGGAUUUGAGUCCAAAGGCCAAGAAAGAUAUAGAAAUUUGGAUUUUGAUAUCACAAAAAUUAGUACUCUUAGUAGUACGUGAAAAUGACCAGCCAUCAACUUUUUCACAAAUGGUAUCAUGUAUUGCAACUAUUUUUAUUUUCUUUCGAUUCUCAAGUUUCUUUACUUAUAAUAAUUUGUAGCUUCAUGAAUCAUCAUUGAUUGGUUGCUAGGAAAUGGAACAAACAAUUGAUAAUAUAUGUCUAAAUCAAAUUUUUAAAGUUAGUAACUUGCAAUCACUUUAAGAAAUUUUACAAUUUUGAGGUUCUAAUUUAUAAUAUGAUUUGUGAUGUCAUUUUUAUCUUUUUUAGAUGGUGGAAGUCAAUGUUCCUCAACUUCUCUCUGAAGAAUAAAGACACAACUUGGAACAAAUGAGCCUAACAAGAUACUUGGAAGAAUGCACCCUGAGCAUUUGGCUCAUUAGUUAGUGCAUUAUCCUUCUACCUAAAGAGCAGGGUUCAAAUCCCCCUUCCUUAAUUAUAAAAAAAAAAAGAUACCUAGAAGAAUUGAUUCCAAAUGCUGCUCUUGAUAAAUCCUGUAAGUCAUUUUAUGUUAAUUAUUACACAAC